rnacentral:lncRNA from 1 species
GAUAUAGAUGUUUUUCUCUAACCUAUGUUCUGCCCUUCCUUUAUUAUCAUUAAUGCGCAUGUCCCGCAGCUGCUGUGACCUCUGACAGCCAGAAACAAAAGAAUUUGGUUAUUUAUGACUGCAUAAAAGGAGUAUAAUAACAAAAAACGUGAAGAUGUAUGCGGAGAACAGAACAUAAUACUUGUAAAUCUAAAUACUUUGGAACUUUUUGGGAAAUUUACAGUGAUAAAUGGGUAUAUAUGUGGACAAGAAUGGGAUGUAUUGUGGCAAUGUUGUGAUGUGAUAUAAAGAUUGCAUGAGUCUGAGUUCUAAAUCUAUGAAAGUUAAAGGAAGGUUCAUACUGUUGACAGUGAACCGCUGCGAUGAAGAAUUAACAGCGCUUUCCUCCACUGAAAUACCCAAAGUACCUGUACUUAGCAGCGGCAAAAUAAAGACUCAUUUCAGCUUUUCUUCUCAGCAAAGGAACACCUGCCCAAACUGAGUGAUUAACUUUAUUUUUCUUUCCUUGGUAGGGAAAACGUGAGUUUCAGAAACAUUUUUAAAUUGAACUUGUAGCACAGGUUUAACAUGUCAAAGGAUCAUUCUAGUGAAGCACAGCCCUUGAAAUAAACGGCGGUUCUAUUUAUUGACUCAGUCCUUCCGAAACUAUUUCUGUCUUCAAGUUGACAUGAAGACCUUGUACUCAUUGACUUUGCUGCCAGGGUGCUGGAAAUGCUACUUCGCAAAAGGAGAUGUCAGUACUUCUCUUGGAAAUCAAUAAAGUCUCUGCCAAAAAACAAAAAAAACAAGUCAGACGACUGUGUCUGGCUUCCCAAGAAGGUGGCAGCCGGAGGAUGUUGUGCUGCUUUGUCAGGCAGCUUGACUUAUUUAGCCUCUUGCACUGAGAUCCACGCUUUGGUUUGUUUCAAGAUAUGGCCAAGCCAACCGAAAGGAGGUGGUUUUCGCAUUGUGGGCCCUGAUGUAAUUCGAAGAGAAACGGAGGACCACCACCUGCCGGCAGCACGCGUCUCUGACUGCACUUCUGCGGGGCAAACAUCUCAUGGGGAUCUUCUCUCACUGUCCAAGAAAAACAGAGACGGUCGAGCCAAGUGACACCACAUCAGAGGGACACGUCGGAAAGGGAACCCAGGAAUGUACUGACUCAGCUGACAAAGUGACAGAAGAGUGUUGCUUAAAUUGGUAUUAAUAAGAUGGUAGUGGAUAUGGAUCCAUCAGAAGACCCUGGAGACCACGUCUGCAGUGCAACACAAGAUUCACUGACGAACACCUCCUGGUGACACAUGGGAAUAAAUCACAGUGAACGUCGUUCUUUUAGCGUUAU